rnacentral:tRNA from 1 species
AAAAAUCCGUCGACUUUUAAAAUCGUGAGGGUUCAAGUCCCUCUAUCCCCA